rnacentral:tRNA from 1 species
CGGGAUGUGGCGCAGCUUGGUAGCGCAUCUGCUUUGGGAGCAGAGGGUCGCAGGUUCAAAUCCUGUCAUCCCGACCA